GAAUUUGCUGUUUUUUACAUUAUUAAACUAAAAAAUCUAGUAAGAGAAAGUAUUUUUCUUGAACACCUCUACAGUUUUAGUAACUCUCUAAAGAAGUGUUUUAUUCAAUUAAUCGAGUUAACAUGGUUUCCACUGGCUAGUUGGCAACGUUUACUACUUAAGUUUUUAUUGGCUGUACUUUUGUACGACCUAAUUUUAUACACCCUGGCCUGUCUGUUAUUGCAAAU